GGCGAACGCUGGCGGCGUGCCUAAUACAUGCAAGUAGAACGCUGAAGAGCGGAGCUUGCUCUUCUUUGAUGAGUUGCGAACGGGUGAGUCACGCGUAGGUAACCUGCCUGGUAGCGGGGGAUAACUAUUGGAAACGAUAGCUAAUACCGCAUAAAAUGGAGCAUCGCAUGAUAGUCCAUUGAAAGGUGCAAAUGCAUCACUACCAGAUGGCCCUGCGUUGUAUUAGCUAGUUGGUGGGGUACCGGCUCACGAAGGCGGGGUUACCGAGUAACCCUGAGCGGGUGGUCGGCCACCCUGAGAGGGAGACACGGCCCAGACGCAUACGGGAGCGAGCAGUAGGGCAUCGGGGGCAAUGGACGGAAGUCUGACCGAGCAAGGCCGAGUGAGUGAAGAAGGUUGUCGGAUCGUAGAGCUCGGUCGUAAGAGAAGAACGCGUGUGAGAGUGGAAAGUUCACUCUGUGACGGUAUCUUACCAGAAAGCGACGGCUAACUACGUG
rnacentral:rRNA from 1 species